GGCGCCAUCCCACCACCCGACUAGCGCUUAGCGUUUUUUUAGAACCUUGCUACAAAAUACCAAAUGUUCAAAAAGAUGCAAAAUGAAAGGAGUUGUGUUUCAAGGUUGAGGAAACCUUGCACGUUGUUGACAAUAAAACACUUUAACUUUCAUCAAUCACUAAGGGAAAUGAUAUUGGUUUAUUUUGAACUCCCUUAAAAAUACUAUUCUUGAGGGUUUGUAUGGAUUUUCACAUUUUUCGCACUUGUAAAUUAAUUAUUAUAUUCUUUUAAUGUGUUUGGUAUUUUUUAAAUUACUUGAUAUUUUUAUUUUUAAUGUGUUUAAUAAUUUUUUUUAAUCUCACUCUUUGCUUAUAGUGUACUGUAAAAAUAAAUAAAACUUAAGCUUUUAAAAUUUAUAUAGAAUAAUAAUACAAUAAUACAGAUUUUAAUAUACAAUAUUUACAUAUACACUAUGGCUAUUGUAUUUUAUAGUAAGUUUUUUUUAGUAGUCUAAAAAAUUAAAAUCAUCAAAAUAAUUUUUUUUUCUUAAUGUGUCGAAACUGGUUACCUGCGUAUCACUCUCAUGUAAACCUGUUAAGGACCCGUUAUUAAUGAGUUCUUAUCGUGUGACCUGAUAAGGUCCCGAUUAGUUAUCAUGUCGACUCGAAACCCGUUAUUUUCGUAUUGUUUACGUGUCGUGUUAAUGGGUCGUGUAAAAAAUUGCCAAGUCUACUAGGUCCUCCCCUACCGCCCGCCUAGCCGGCUAGGUGCUAGGCUCUAGCAUGCUGCCUAACUAGCACCUAGUAUCUUUUAGAAUCUUGUAUACAGGUAAUGUAAGGAAGACCAAAAUUUUAAAUUAAAUUUGUAAAUCAAAUAAUAUGAUGGUUGUUGAUUGGAUUGUUAAUUAGUUGUUGAUUAUCUUAUUGGUUACACAUUAUUUGAUUUGCAAAUUUGAUUUAACAAUUUAGUAGCAUUAUUCUAUAUGUAUAUGUAUAUUCUCUUGAUGUUUAAUAAAGUAUUUUUAUCCAACAAAAAGAAAUAAAGCUUUUUUUUAAUGAAUAAAUCCUAAUACUUGAGAUCACUGAAUAAAUGAAUAAACUAUUAAAUUUAUAUUCUUUGAAAGACAAGGGGGUGUAUUCAAUUGGACUUUUGAGGGAUUUUAA
rnacentral:lncRNA from 1 species